ACCCUUGCCUCGCCUGCUCCCUCUGCCUCAAAGCAGAACAUUCUGGACUUGGGGUGAAAAGCCUGGAUUUGAGCUAUGCUGCCCACCACUCUGCCUGGGUUUGCUUUUCUGGAUAACAUCUGCCUGCCUGCUGUGGCUCCACUGGUUGCCCCCCUGGCGCCACAUCUCUUCUCCUCUGCUGCUGGAGUCCAGGUCUGCCCUCCUGGGGCACCCGCCCAGCUCACAGGCAAACCUACCCGGUCUCGGGGGCUGUGACUGAGGGGUGUGGCAGAGGCUUCGGGUGUUCACUGGGAGCUUCCGCAGGGGAACCGGCCUGGUAGGAACGGCCGCUUUGGGGAAGGCAGAACCAUCGGGAACCAGCCUCAGGGUGCAGGCUUCCAGGACAGUGCUCACUCUGGGCAGAGCCACCACCACAUUGCUUACUCGUCCCCACAGAUGGAACAGGAGCGAGGUCGCCUGUAUCCUCCGGGAAAUGCUCCUGGAGGUCAGGGCAGCCGGGUGAGCACUGGGUCCGGCUGCUCUCCCCAGCUUCUCUUCUCCAGUCAGCCAACCCAGCCUCCGCGAGAGACAGAGGAAAGACAGACACGGCGUUGGCUGCGCGGGGGCCUGCAUCCCUCCCGACCUUCUCAUUUGAUCCUCCUGCCCUAUGCGGUUGGUGCCAACGUUCAUCCCAUUUUACAGAUGAGUAAACUCAGCUUCAGUGAGGCCGGGGCCUUCCUGGAGAUCACAGAGCAAGCACCAUCAGUCUCAACUGUCGCUGGCCGGAGCUGGCUCUACGCGUUUCUUUCCUCGUACUCUGUGGUCUACAAGGACAGGAGGGACGGGGUCUCGACCUGGACCAACCCAGGCUGGUCUCAAACUCCUGGGCUCAAGCAAUCCACUUGCCUAAGCCUCCCGAAGUGCUGGGAUAACAGACGUGAGCCGCCACACCCGGCCUUCACAUGGUUUGAGCCGCCGCACCCGGCCUCUCACAUGGUUCUUCUCACGGGCGCUCCCCACAUGUGCGGACCCCUCCUUCGUGGCCUCCAGCUUCUAUUUAGAGAGGGUGUGACACGCUGAGAUCUUUCACACGGGUGGUGACGGGACUGAAUCGAGUUGCAGGACGCCAGCGGGUAUGAGAGCUGCUGCUGUGGAGAACGGCAGCACCAUUUCCACACCCACGUGUGGCACUUGGUCACGGCCCAUGCGGGAAACAACUACACCCACCUAUUUCCCUCCCAGAAAACCUACGUUUUUCUUCCCAAGACAGACACUGUGUGCUCACAACACCCUGUUGCUGCCUUUCCUGAGUAGUAUGUGUGCAGGAGUCCUCACAGCAGCCGUGUCGCAGGGAGCAGGCGCCACGGCCUUGGAAGCCAGCACAGUCAGCGAAAUUCCGUAGGGAGCUGGGACUGACACGGCCCAGUCAUGUCAUGGAUGAGCCAUGUCAUGAACGACUCAUGCAUGCACCAGUCACGUGAGGACCUGUCACGUGUGGACCUGUCAUACAUGCACCAGUUGAGUGUGGACCUGUCAUGUGUGAACUUGUCACGUGAAGACCUGUCACAUGUGAACCUGUCACGAGGACCUGUCACGUGUGGACCUGUCACGUGUGGACCUGUCACGUGAGGACCUGUCACGUGUGGACCUGUCACGUGAGGAUCUGUCGUGUGGUCCUGUCGUCUGUGGGCCUGUCACGUGAGGACCUGUCAUGUGUGGACUGUCACGUGUGGACCUGUCACGUGUGGACUGUCACGUGUGGACCUCUCAUACAUGCACCAGUCACGUGUAGACCUGUCACGUGUGAACCUGUCGUGUGGUCCUGUCGUCUGUGGGCCUGUCACGUGUGGAUCUGUCACGUGUGGACCUGUCAUACAUGCACCAGUCACGUGUGGACCUGUCGUGUGGUCCUGUCAUCUGUGGGCCUGUCACGUGUGGACCUGUCACGUGAGGACCUGUCACGUGUGGAUCUGUCACGUAUGGACUCUCACGUGUGGACCUGUCAUACAUGCACCAGUCACGUGUGGACCUGUCACGUGUGAACCUGUCGUGUGGUCCUGUCGUCUGUGGGCCUGUCACGUGUGGAUCUGUCACGUGUGGACUGUCACGUGUGGACCUGUCAUACAUGCACCAGUCACGUGUGGACCUGUCGUGUGGUCCUGUCGUCUGUGGGCCUGUCACGUGUGGACCUGUCACGUGAGGACCUGUCAUGUGUGGACCAGUCAUGUGAGGACCUGUCACGUGUGGACUGUCACGUGUGGACCUGUCAUACAUGCACCAGUCACGUGUAGACCUGUCACGUGUGAACCUGUCGUGUGGUCCUGUCGUCUGUGGGCCUGUCACGUGUGGAUCUGUCACGUGUGGACUGUCACGUGUGGACCUGUCAUACAUGCACCAGUCACGUGUGGACCUGUCGUGUGGUCCUGUCAUCUGUAGGCCUGUCACAUGUGGACCUGUCACGUGUGGACUGUCACGUGUGGACCUGUCAUGCAUGCACCAGUCACGUGUGGACCUGUCACGUGUGAACCUGUUGUGUGGUCCUGUCGUCUGUGGGCCUGUCACGUGUGGACGUGUCACGUGUGGACCCGGCUGAAGGCAGGAUGCCUCAGCCAAUCCUAUGCCUGGGCAGGGCGGGGGAUGCCUCUGCAUUUUCUGAGCCCCAUGGCCCUGCAGUGCUGCUGGGUGGCUGUCACAGACCCAGGCCAGCCCCUCCUCCCAGGCAGGCAGCUGGAGCUGCAGGGGAGGGUGUCACGGCCAGCCCAAGAGGCCUCAUCCCUGCUACCGGGUACCUGCCGUAGCUAUGUCCAGCCCAGGUCACUGAGUGUGUAAACACACCUCACGUCCGCGUCGAGAAGGCGUCACCAGUGCCUGCUGAACAAAGAAGGUCUGGCCCAGUGUGGCUGCAGCCAGGAGGCCAAGGAGACCAGUGAGAGCACCGCCCUCGCCACUGACGCUCUUGCUGGGCUCAUUGUUGUGCUGGGCCCAGUGGAGCAAAAGACAGGCCUCCAGCCGGGGCACCUCCCAACAACUCUGCACCCUUGAUUGAAAUGCAAUGUCUGCGGCUGACGGCCACGUGACUGCAACCCACCCUCCCGGCUGCCGAUUAAUUUUACCUUUUGUGCUGCCAGCUGCAGUGGGUUCAUGGUGAGAGCUGAGUUGAUGCAUGCGAGUGCGAGGGUGUGUUAAUGUGUGCACAUGUGUGACUGUGUGAGGGUGUAUAUGUGUGUGUACAUACAUUGUGUGCAUGCGUGUGAGUGUGUACACUGUGAGCACAUCUGUGAAUGUAUGCGGGUGUGUCCCUAUGAGCACGUGUGUGUGCACGUGUGACCGUGUGAGGGUGUAUAUGUGUGUGUGCAUACAUUGUGUAUGUGAAUGCAUGUGAGUGUGUACACUGAGCACGUCUGUGAAUGUAUGUGGGUGUGUCCAUAUGAGCACGUGUGUGUGCACCUGUGACCGU